ACGGAGGGUGCAAGCGUUAUCCGGAAUCAUUGGGUUUAAAGGGUCCGCAGGCGGUCAAUUAAGUCAGAGGUGAAAUCCCAUAGCUUAACUAUGGAACUGCCUUUGAUACUGGUUGACUUGAGUUAUACGGAAGUAGAUAGAAUGUGUAGUGUAGCGGUGAAAUGCAUAGAUAUUACACAGAAUACCGAUUGCGAAGGCAGUCUACUACGUAUAUACUGACGCUCAUGGACGAAAGCGUGGGGAGCGAACGGG
rnacentral:rRNA from 1 species